rnacentral:rRNA from 1 species
AGCAGUGGGGAUUUUUGGACAAUGGGCGGAAGCUUGAUCCAGCAAUGCGGCGUGCGGGAUGAAAGCCUUCGGGUUGUAAAGUAUUUUUUUGGGGAGGAAACGGUCUCCCUAAUACGGUGGGAUAAUGACGGUACCGUAAGAAUAAGCACCGGCUAACUACGUCCCAGCAGCCGCGGUAAUACGUAGGGUGCGAGCGUUAAUCGGAAUUUCUGGGCGUAAAGCGUGCGCAGGCGGUUAUAUAAGACAGAUGUGAAAUCCCCGGGCUCAACCUGGGACCUGCAUUUGUGACUGUAUAGCUAGAGUACGGUAGAGGGGGAUGGAAUUCCGCGUGUAGCAGUGAAAUGCGUAGAUAUGGGGAGGAACCCCGAUGGCGAAGGCAAUCCCCUGGACCUGUACUGACGCUCAUGCACGAAAGCGUGGGGAGCAAACAGGAUUAGAUACCCUGGUAGUCCACGCCCUAAACGAUGUCAACUGGUUGUUGGGUCUUCACUCACUCAGUAACGCAAGCUAACGCG